GGGAGAUGGGAACUUCGGUUGCAUACGGAGAUUGACUGAAUUGGUCUGCAUGUCUGCUCGCCCUGACGCCCUUGGGCUUAGAUCUCGCGGGCCUGUAUUCGACCCACACGG
rfam:Triticum aestivum genome assembly, contig: Triticum_aestivum_CS42_TGACv1_scaffold_377988_5AL